rnacentral:rRNA from 1 species
GAGCCCUACGGGGCGCAGCAGUGGGGAAUAUUGCACAAUGGGGGAAACCCUGAUGCAGCGACGCCGCGUGAAGGAAGAAGUAUUUCGGUAUGUAAACUUCUCUCCUCAGGGAAGCCAAUGACGGUACCUGACUAAGAAGCCCCGGCUAACUACGUGCCAGCAGCCGCGGUAAUACGUAGGGGGCAAGCGUUAUCCGGAUUUACUGGGUGUAAAGGGAGCGUAGGCGGUGCAGCAAGUCAGAAGUGAAAGCCCGGGGCUCAACUCCGGGACUGCUUUUGAAACU